rnacentral:piRNA from 1 species
GGCCUUAAGCCCAGCGGGCAUGCCUC